GACGAACGCUGGCGGCGUGCUUAACACAUGCAAGUCGAACGGAAAGGCCCUGCUUUUGUGGGGUGCUCGAGUGGCGAACGGGUGAGUAACACGUGAGUAACCUGCCCUUGACUUUGGGAUAACUUCAGGAAACUGGGGCUAAUACCGGAUAGGAGCUCCUGCUGCACGGUGGGGGUUGGAAAGUUUCGGCGGUUGGGGAUGGACUCGCGGCUUAUCAGCUUGUUGGUGGGGUAGUGGCUUACCAAGGCUUUGACGGGUAGCCGGCCUGAGAGGGUGACCGGCCACAUUGGGACUGAGAUACGGCCCAGACUCCUACGGGAGGCAGCAGUGGGGAAUAUUGCACAAUGGGCGGAAGCCUGAUGCAGCAACGCCGCGUGCGGGAUGACGGCCUUCGGGUUGUAAACCGCUUUCGCCUGUGACGAAGCGUGAGUGACGGUAAUGGGUAAAGAAGCACCGGCUAACUACGUGCCAGCAGCCGCGGUGAUACGUAGGGUGCGAGCGUUGUCCGGAUUUAUUGGGCGUAAAGGGCUCGUAGGUGGUUGAUCGCGUCGGAAGUGUAAUCUUGGGGCUUAACCCUGAGCGUGCUUUCGAUACGGGUUGACUUGAGGAAGGUAGGGGAGAAUGGAAUUCCUGGUGGAGCGGUGGAAUGCGCAGAUAUCAGGAGGAACACCAGUGGCGAAGGCGGUUCUCUGGGCCUUUCCUGACGCUGAGGAGCGAAAGCGUGGGGAGCGAACAGGCUUAGAUACCCUGGUAGUCCACGCUGUAAACGGUGGGUACUAGGUGUGGGGUCCAUUCCACGGGUUCCGUGCCGUAGCUAACGCUUUAAGUACCCCGCCUGGGGAGUACGGCCGCAAGGCUAAAACUCAAAGGAGUUGACGGGGCCCCGCACAAGCGGCGGAGCAUGCGGAUUAAUUCGAUGCAACGCGUAGAACCUUACCUGGGUUUGACAUGGAUCGGGAGUGCUCAGAGAUGGGUGUGCCUCUUUUGGGGUCGGUUCACAGGUGGUGCAUGGCUGUCGUCAGCUCGUGUCGUGAGAUGUUGGGUUAAGUCCCGCAACGAGCGCAACCCUUGUUCACUGUUGCCAGCACGUUAUGGUGGGGACUCAGUGGAGACCGCCGGGGUCAACUCGGAGGAAGGUGGGGAUGACGUCAAGUCAUCAUGCCCCUUAUGUCCAGGGCUUCACGCAUGCUACAAUGGCUGGUACAGAGAGUGGCGAGCCUGUGAGGGUGAGCGAAUCUCGGAAAGCCGGUCUCAGUUCGGAUUGGGGUCUGCAACUCGACCUCAUGAAGUCGGAGUCGCUAGUAAUCGCAGAUCAGCAACGCUGCGGUGAAUACGUUCCCGGG
rnacentral:rRNA from 1 species